UACGGAAGGGGCAAGCGUUGUUCGGAAUCAUUGGGCGUAAAGGGCGCGUAGGCGGUCUCGUGUGUCUGCUGUAAAAGCACACGGCUCAACCGUGGAGAGUCGGUAGAAACUGCGAGACUUGAGGCUGGGAGAGGCUGGUGGAAUUCCCUGUGUAGCGGUGAAAUGCGUAGAUAUAGGGGAGAACACUCGUGGCGAAGGCGGCCAGCUGGACCAGCCCUGACGCUGAGGCGCGACAGCGUGGGGAGCAAACAGGAUUAGAAACCCGCGUAGUCC
rnacentral:rRNA from 1 species